UUGUCUAGCCGGCGAACUCUGGGCCGUAAGAUAAAUAGAAAAAGAAAUGUAACACUUGCUUUUUGGUCACGUAGUGUGCGUGUGAUUAUUAUCCCGCUACUAUCUUAUAAUAUAUUUAUAUAUUAUGUAUUUUGGUUGAUGUCAAUUAGCAAGAGUGGGUAAAUGUUUUAGUUUCAAAGUACAAUUUAGUUAAAUAGUAAAUACAGUCCACUACUUAUUGGUUUAUGGUUUAAUGAUGUAGUAAAGGUGAAUAAGAAGAAAGUUUAGUGUUUUAUUUGCCAUUACAAAUGAACUAAAAAAUAACGUAAUCAGGAAUCUUCUGUACAUAAAUAAAUUAAGAUAAUUAAUUAAGAUUUUCGGUAGUAAUCAUUAUCUAUCAACCAAAACCUUAAACCGGAAGUUUUUUUUUAACCAGAAUUGAACAUGACCAAAAAUAUUGUGUUCCUGCGACUUAGAUUAGGCUAUUAAUAUUGUGCGGACGACGGUUAGCAUGUGAAUGGUAUUAGCCGAAGCUAGAAAUUCCAGGAUCGGUUUUAAAAAAUUCAAUUAAGGGAUUCGUAUUGAAUAUUGCACCUUGUAUAAUAUAUUUUUAAAUGCAAUAGGUGAUUUCAAACUACAUAAAUAAAUAAUAUUAGUGAAUAGCUUAGGAAAUAGUCAUUGAUGAAUUUAUUUAUAAGCUUGCAAUUUCCUCGCAGCUAAAUAGCAAGUAUCUUAAACAUUUGAGAUAACUCUCAAUCGUGCAAAACAAAAAUAUAAUUUACCUAAUGUUAAACUACUCCAAAUUUAGUAUUUGAAGUAACAAGAUCUUAAAAAAUUGUAAAUUGUAAAUAUAUAGAAUCAGAAGUACAGUAGAAACAAAUAAGUGUACUUCUUUGCAAAGUUUUAUAUUAUAUCUAUAUAUAAUAUAAUAUAUAAUAAAAUGUAUAAUAUUUGUUGCUUUAGUAUCAAGAUCGUAUUGGUAAUUUUAAGGUUACAAAGAAAAAUAUUAGCUUGUCGAUAUGAAAUUAUUAAUACUAUUAACCUGAACAAUUCCAUCGCUGGAAAAUCAAAUAUUCACAAUUUGGUAAAGUAUGAGUGAAACUAACCACAUUGACAGUGUUUCAGUUAUCAAAGACAGAAAAAUAUUCUUUAAAAUUGAUGUGAAAUUUAUCCAAUUCCUAAUUGAUUAUUUCUAUACUAACUAUAUUGUCCAUAAACUUUUGGAAGAAUUUGCUAAAUGUUC